CCCUUAGAUGUUCUGGGCCGCACGCGCGCUACACUGACGAAGUCAGCGAGCAUGUCCUACGCCGACAGGUGCGGGGAAUCUUGUCAAACUUCGUCGUGAUGGGGAUUGAUUUUUGAAAUUCUUGAUCAUAAACGAGGAAUUCCUAGUAAGCGCAAGUCAGCAGCUUGCGUUGAUUACGCCCCUGCCCUUUGUACACACCGCCCGUCGCUACUACCGAUUGAAUGGUUUAGUGAGAUCUUCGGAUUGGCGCCACUGCAGCUCAGCAAUGGGCUUGGUGGAUGCCGAAAAGUUGAUCAAACUUGAUCAUUUAGAGGAAGUAAAAGUCGUAACA
rnacentral:rRNA from 1 species